CGUAGGGUGCAGGCGUUAAUCGGAAUUACUGGGCGUAAAGCGUGCGCAGGCGGCUCCUUAAGUCAGAUGUGAAAGCCCCGGGCUUAACCUGGGAACUGCGUUUGAAACUGGGGAGCUGGAGUGUAGAAGAGGGGGGUGGAAUUCCAGGUGUAGCAGUGAAAUGCGUAGAUAUCUGGAGGAACACCGAUGGCGAAGGCAGCCCCCUGGGCUAACACUGACGCUCAUGCACGAAAGCGUGGGGAGCAAACAGG
rnacentral:rRNA from 1 species